rnacentral:rRNA from 1 species
UACAGAGGUCUCAAGCGUUGUUCGGAUUCAUUGGGCGUAAAGGGUGCGUAGGCGGCUUGGCAAGUGGAAGGUGAAAUCCCUCGGCUUAACCGAGGAACUGCCCUCCAAACUGCUUAGCUUGAGACCGGGAGAGGUGAGUGGAAUUCCCAGUGUAGCGGUGAAAUGCGUAGAUAUUGGGAGGAACACCAGUGGCGAAGGCGGCUCACUGGACCGGUACUGACGCUGAGGCGCGAAAGCGUGGGGAGCAAACGGG